AUGCUUGUUUCUGUAGCACAUGUACUAAAAUUGGAACGACACAGAGGAGAUUAGCAUGGCCCCUGCACAAGGAUGACAUGCAAGUUCGUGAAGCAUUCUGUAUUUUU